CUUCUCGGUAUUUCACAUCGGUCCGACGGUCUUAUUUCUAAGCAUGUUGCUGACAAGAUGAUGCCCGACGACGACAAGGGUAGUGCCCCUGAAGAAUGUUAUUUCGCCCAAGCUGGCCCUGUUUGUCGGCUUGACGGUGGAAAUCAGUCCCAUCGUGGGUGCCCAGUGCUAGGAGAUCGCUGUACGCCGGAUGAUCGAAUCGCUUGAUGUAGAAUAGUUGGUAACGGCCCGGCUUCGUCUAUCGCUAUCUCCUAAAUGUAUGCAAUGAUGCUGAAACGGCCGGCGCCUGCAACGGUUGCUGAAAACGGAUUCCAGAGAGCUACAAAAACACAAACAUUUGCAAGCUUCCCC